rnacentral:lncRNA from 1 species
GCAAGCAAGCACAUUUACCAUUGGACCAGUUUAGAAUUGUUCUACCUGAUUGUGAAGCUUUUUCUGAAUGAAUAUUUAUUUCCCGAGAUGACAUUCAAUGUUACCUUGAUUGAUGCUCUAGCAUUUACCAUUUCAGUCAAAAUUGCUACAUUUGUAGCCACCGACUCCCCUGUUGAAGUUCACUGAUCACCCUAAGAUCUCCUUCUGCUAUGCAUUCGCUUUUCUAUUGUUGAGAGCAAAUGACUGUUUUCUCCCUGUGGUCUUAGAAAUAAUUCUCCAAACUGUUUUUAUAGACUUUAUUUAGAAACGAGCUCUCCUCUUUACACUGGCAUUCAUCUGUAACUGGAGAUCCAGAUUUUAACACAUCAUUUCCUGUUAUUACUAUAGCAGUAUCAAAAUACUGACCACUUACCAAGAAGUGAAGCAUCCAAAAGACUGAAGCAGAGAGUUCAGCCAGCUAUUUGUUUUUCAACUGUGAAAAUUUACAAGAAUCACAUGUUAAAUGGAUAUGAAGACGAAGUGGAAGAGAGAGCCCUGGUAAAAAGAGUUGGUAAACCAUUCAGGUAUUGAGUUAUAGCACAAUCAGGUGUUUAUCAAAAAUAAUGGAAAGAAAUUCAAUCUGAAAAACAGGGCCUGUUUUUUCAGGGUAGUAUUCAGCAAAGUUUUCUUUCAUUUUUUUCCUAAGCCUUCCAGGCAGUUUAAUACAAAAUUAAUUUCUUGACAUUUUCAAUUGUUAGAUGAGUAACUGGGUGUAAUUUUGACUCCUGUCUUUUAUCUCUCUAUACUAAAUAGCCCUAAGUCCUGCAGCUUCUUUCUCCACAUUAUUACUAAGAGUUUUAUCCCCUUCACAUUGUUCAAGGUCAAUUGCUGGAAACUCCCAGCUGGACAAUUGGCUUUAGUUUAUGCAAAGAUGGAGUUAUCCAAAUAAUUUUCCAUCAUAUGGCUUUUUAUAAAUAUCUACACUAAUCCUAUAUUACUUUAUAAAUUUACCUAUAUAAAUAAAUAUAGAGUCUUUUGAUGUCCCUUCAAGACCAUACAUUGCU